rfam:Schistosoma curassoni strain Dakar, Senegal genome assembly, scaffold: SCTD_scaffold0001506
AUCCAACUGAUGAGUCCUAAAUAGGAAGGAACGCGCGUCCUAGAU